UUAGGUCACAAGAUUUAGCACCGCGGUUUUCUGUCAUGCCAACUCUGAAACCUAAAGGGGAGACAACAAUCCCUCCAAUUUAUAGUAUAGAAAUGGAUGCUGCCACUUUCAAAGACUUCAGCAGUCGUGAAUGGCAAAUUGGGGUGGCAACUUCUAGUAAGGAAAGCUCCAAAGACCCCGUUAUAAUAAUAAUCCAGCAACCACAUGCAACAAAAGUCCAACAAAUGUAGCAUUUUGACCCCAGAUACUAAGUUUAUUGCCACUCAUUGUCGGAGAAGCAGGAAGAGUUGGGGAUUUUAUACUACAAUUUUCAAGUAUACUCGAGUUUUUCCCGGAUAGAAAAGUCUGGCAAGACUCCAAAUGGUCACAUGCGUUUUCAUGUAAUACUGAUGACUCAUUGUAUAAUAAAGCCAGGAAGAAAAAAAAACAGAGCAACAUGUAAAUACUAUUACUUUCUAA